UACGUAGGUGGCAAGCGUUGUCCGGAUUUACUGGGCGUAAAGAGCGCGCAGGCGGUCGUUCAAGUCGCGUGUGAAAGCCCCCGGCUCAACUGGGGAGGGUCAUUCGAUACUGUUCGACUCGAAGGCAGGAGAGGGAAGCAGAAUUCCCCGGUGUAGUGGUGAAAUGCGUAGAUAUCGGGAGGAACACCAGUGGCGAAGGCGACUACCUGGCCUGUUCUUGACGCUGAGGCGCGAAAGCUAGGGGAGCAAACGGG
rnacentral:rRNA from 1 species